UCUUGAUUUCGACUAAGAAUACAAUCAAGAAGUAUUCGGAGGUUCUUGAGUUCGACUAAGAAUACAAUCGCAAAUACUACACGAAGUCAAGAAGAAUUCGGAGGUUCUUGAUUUCGACUAAGAAUAUAAUCGUAAAUACUACACGAAGUCAAGAAGUAUUCGGGGGUUCUUGAGUUCGACUAAGAAUACAA